UCCAUUCUUGGGGGGAUGGGAAGAGGCUUUCCAAUGCGCAGUUUCCCUCCUCAAUGCAGAUCAUUGUCUGAGAGAGUGACGGUUGCUCUUAGCCUUCCUCCAUCCCCAAGCCUCCCGGAUCAGGGGCUCAGAGCUAGCAAAGAGAAGUUGCUUACUGACCUGCAUGUAGUCUUCAGCCACCAGGAUGAAGCCGUUAUUAUCGAUCAGGAGCCAUAAUUGGUGUUGAGUUGAGUGAGGAAGAGAAGAUUCAGAAGGAAUUACAGAUUUAGAGCAGGAAGCCAUCUGAGAGUUCAUCAAAUCCUACUUCCUAAUAUUACAAAUGAGGAACCUGAGACUGAAGAUGGACUGAAGAUUGAUUUGCACAAGACAAUACAGGAGAGAAGGAGAAGGAUACAAGGAGAAAAGAGACUUACUUCAUCAUCACAGCUAAUGGAGCACCUGCCAUCCAGAGAGGCGCACUGUAAAGAAAAGGCACAGGAAGAAGCAUGUCACCUGGUGUUUCUCCAGCCUGACUUAGUGGUCAUUUCUUGGGCCCUGCCAAAGACAAAGACUGGAAAGACCCUGCAGGGAGUAGCUCACUUUAGCUAAAUGCUGCCUUCUUCCCAAGGCAAGGACUCUCUGUUCUCUGUAGCCAAACAGGAUGCAAAGUCUUCAGCCCUCAUUUGAUAGAACUACAAUUUGUGUUUUUGUAUCUAAGAAGGAAAUUUCCAUGGACGCUACCAUUCCCUACUUCCAGCUCACUAACUCACAUUGAAUACUUCUUCUCAGUUUAUUCUUUGAUCUCCAAAUUCCCCUUGCCCUUGCUCCUGUGAUUUGGAGCAAGUUUCAGGGCCUCAGUUUCCUAAUUUGUGAAAUGAGCUGAUUGCACAAUAUCACCUCAGAGAUCCUCCUAUCUCUAGAUCUAGAGCAUGUUCACAAUACUGGCCUGUCCCCACUUUCCGAGCCUUGAGAUUUCCUACUGUUGUCAUUCCCACAUCCUAUUCCCUGGGAUAGAAAUGCUGGGAAUGCAGCCAGAGCUUUCUUUGUGCUAGAGGCAAAGGUGGCAGCAGCCAGUAGUACCCAUCUCUAAAUGGCCCGUGUGUCUGUGGACAUGACAUCCUGAUAACCACAACAGGAAGCAUCAUGCUCAUUUCUCCAGGGCUUCAAGUUUGCAAGAUGCUCUACAUAUUGUUAUUGCAUUUGGGGGAAAGUUGAAAAAAUGCCUCCCAUUCUAAGGAGAUGAGGCGAACGUUCUCUGGGGAAUAUUCUAGUCCAUCUGACAUGGGCGCACCCCCCAAAUAGUGAUGUUUAAGGGGUUGUUCCCAUUUGGGAGGACAUGAUUUUGGUUGCUCUCUGGUCAGUUGCCUCGAUAGUACCCAGAAUGUCAGGUUUCAGCUGCCAAGCAUCCUUUUCUCACGUCAUGAAAAGAAAGGGAAUGGGGUCCUUGGCACACUGGGAUUUUGCAAACAUUCAUUUGGAAAUCUGGCACUUCUCUAGCUCGGGAGACCCAAAUGGGAACACCUGUAUAAUAACAGAGCUGUUAAUGUCUCAAUAUACUGAUUA